CGGGGAUAGGGCAGAACUCCCCGUUAGACGGUCUCCGUCCAAGUUCUGC
rnacentral:ncRNA from 1 species